rnacentral:rRNA from 1 species
UGCUAGUCGCACGGGUUCAGACCCGUGGCAAAUAGCUCAGUAACACGUGGCCAAACUGCCCUGUAGACUGCGAUAACCUCGGGAAACUGAGGCUAAUCGCGGAUACGGCUCGCACGCUGGAGUAGCAGCGAGUCAGAAACGUUCCGGCGCUACAGGAUGUGGCUGCGGCCGAUUAGGUAGACGGUGGGGUAACGGCCCACCGUGCCGAUAAUCGGUACAGAUUGUGAGAGCAAGAGCCUGGAGACGGAAUCUGAGACAAGAUUCCGGGCCCUACGGGGCGCAGCAGGCGCGAAACCUUUACACUGCACGACAGUGCGAUAGCGGAACUCCGAGUGCGAGGGCAUAGAGCCCUCGCUUUUGUAGACCCUAAGGCGGUCUACGAAUAAGUGCUGGGCAAGACCGGUGCCAGCCGCCGCGGUAAUACCGGCAGCACGAGUGAUGGCCGAUAUUAUUGGGCCUAAAGCGUCCGUAGCUGGCCGAGCAAGUCUGUCGGGAAAUCCAGUGGCUCAACCACCGGGCUGCCGGCGGAAACUGUUCGGCUUGGGACCGGAAGACUCGAGGGGUACGUUCGGGGUAGGAGUGAAAUCCCGUAAUCCUGAACGGACCACCGAUGGCGAAAGCACCUCGAGAGCACGGAUCCGACAGUGAGGGACGAAAGCUUGGGUCUCGAACCGGAUUAGAUACCCGGGUAGUCCAAGCUGUAAACGAUGCUCGCUCGGUCUGGCGCAGGCUACGAGCCUGUGCUGUGCCACA